CCCAACCCCCUCCCGGCGGUUCAAGUUUCUGCGCCCGGAGGACGCGGCCUCGGCCAAUCCCCGGGCUACAGGGCGCUUUUAAAAUGCAGGUGCCUAGUUCAGGAACUACACAGUGGAGGCCAAUUUGAGAAUCCCCACUUGAACCACCGGCCUUUUGCCCCUCUCUGAGGCCCGAAGCAAGCCCCUAGCUUCCUGUGUGCCUCAGUCGCCCUGUCUCUAAAAUGGGCAGCCCAUCAAAUUCACGUGUCCUUGACGGAGAGGAGUCUGGAGAAAUAACCGGUCCCCGACCUAGUGGGAAUUGCGUGGUGUGCUAAGGAUGAAAUGCGCAGGCCAUCAGCCGAGGGCUGUCAUCACAGGACCUGAUCUGAGAACGCUCGUCUGCUGAGGACAGGCAGGUCAUGCAGCCGCAGGAAGCUUGAACUAUAGGUUCUCUGGGCUGCUCGUGGGCUCGCUCUGAAAGCACACAAUGUGGCUGGGCCUCCCUUCUUGUGGCUGCAGCUCAGGCUGGCCAGGACUCUGUCCCGUGCACCUGCCUCUGAGGAAGCCAGCAGGAACUGACGCCUCUCAGCAACCUCAGCCCACUUUGCAGAGGAGGAAACUGAGAAGCAGGGAGUCAAGUCACUGGCCCGGGGUCCCACAGCCAAGGUGGUCAGAUCUGCCUGACACAGACGCCAGACUGCCUCCACGGUUAUUACCAUCAUCACAAUAGAAUACUAAUAACACUUGUAAUUAUUAUUAUUAUUGAGGGCAGAGCUCCAGGCAGGCAGGUCGGGUGACUUCGUCAUUGAGGCCAGGUGCCUGGCCAGUGCCCAGAACUAGGCAGGCUCCUGUCCCAGCUGGCCCCAGGACUAUGCUGAAGACGUGAGGCCCCAUCGUGCAGAUUGGGUCGACAGCAUGGGGCUCACCCCCCUCCAUCAGAUCCUGGACUCAGGCAGCACCGCUGCCCGUCUACUCCUGGAUGCCUUUGGUGAUGGAGCCAGCGGCGGUUUGGGAAUCAGAGCACUGAGAACUCAUCCAGAGGCACAUAUUGCUUUAUAAGUCACAGCCCCCCGCCCCUCCAUGCAAUCCGAGUAUUCCUACUCCAAAAGGUGGUGCUGCUUACGAGCAGAGACUGGGCCAGUCUGCCUGGGCUCACAUUCUGGAGUUCUGUUCACUGCCUCUGUGACUCUUGACAAGCGACUUCACCCACUGCUCUGUUUCCUCGUCUGCACAACAGUGCACAACUCAAGGAGAGGUGAGUGGGGUCAUAGGUGACCUCAGCUUCUUGUCCCCGUCCGUAUUCCUGGACAAGGAGGAUGGUGGAAGGACGGAGGACAAGGCAGUGCCUCUGGAAAUCCAAAAUGCCAAGUCCCAGCCCAGGUGCCUCCCUCCCACCGAGGAGCCUCUGGUGUCCUGGUCGCCUCUGGACGUGGUGUGGCCACCAGAAGAACCGGGCAGCUCCAAGGGGCCCCCUGCUGGCCUGAGGAGUUGCUGCGGCCACAAAGAAGAGGUGCGCUCACUCCCCACACCCGCUGACCCAGGACCCAGCUCAGGGACCCAGACCAUGCCAAGCACUUCGCUGGGAGCCACCGGGAAACAGCAUCUCCCCACAGCCCUGCGAGCUGGGCCUUUCACAGAUGUGAGGCCCUGGAGGAGACUGUCCCGUCAGGCUGCUCCCAAAAAUCCACUGUCAGGGAAACAAGCAAGAGGCAGAACAUGAAUAAAAAUAACAUGAAAGUGUAAUUAUUUAAAAAAUAACGAGCAAAGGUGCUGUGCAAGCAUAGACUCUGGAGGAUGGCGCGAGCACCGGGCAGCCCUCAGGGCUUCCUGGAAGGAG
rnacentral:lncRNA from 1 species